AAGGGUUUAUUUUGUGAAACCUGUAUUUCUUUUUUUUCAGUGUAUUUCUGUCAUGUUCCAGUCCCCAGACACAAAAAUCAAAGCCUAUACUAAUACAGGCAGGAGGAUACAGCUUGAUGCUAACACUUCAUGAAUGUAUAGAUAACUUUAUCAUAUUUACAUAUGAGUGAUUAUGUAUCCCUUUUGCUUUUCAGUGUCUUCUCAGAAACAACCACCCUCAAAGGCUGCAAGUGACAAGACAGAUUCUGCUUUGAAUAUAGCUACAGAAAUAAAGGAUGGACUACAAUGUGGGACAGUGUCUUCUCAGAAACAACCAGCCUUGAAGGUAAUUAAACUCUCAUUUAUAUUGUGAACUAGUAAAUCUAUAGUCUAUGAAACAUACUUCAUUUACUUAUUUAUUUAUUAUUUUCUUUCAAAUUCAAUUCAGGCUACAACUGACGAGGAAGGUUCUGUUUCGAAUAUAGCCACAGAAAUAAAGGAUGGAGAAAAAUCUGGGACAGGUAAUUUUGCAAAACACAUUCAAUGUCAUGUUCAAUCCAGAUAGAAAAGAACUUCUCUACAUCUAAUAAAUCAGCGCAGGGCGGGUGGGGGGCUCGCCGAAGCUGCACAUUCUGAUCCAGCAGGUCUGAGAGUCUUCAUUUGUAAUAAAUUAUUGGGUGACGCUAAUGCUGCUGGCUUGGAACGUGAUCUUCGCAGUAAGAUUAUACACUUCCCCACAUUGAAAUUGGGAAGAAGAAAUAUUGGAGAGAGGUUCAAGACAUAAGGGGCUCUGGGGAACAGCAUAGUUUUGCUUUAAUUCUACACCGUGGUUUCACUAAGGGUGGAAGGAGAAAGAGAGGAAGUAUAGAUUUUACAGACGUCACAUCGUACUGCAAAGAAAAGACAGAAAACUGAUAGUAAUAACCCAUAGACACUGUAGCACGAGAACUAAGGAGACCCCUGAUGUAGCAAUUAUUUUCCCAAGGACGAGGGAUUGUCAGGCAGGAAGGAGGGAAAAGAAGUUAUUUAUAUAAUUUAGGGGUUUCUGCUGAGAAAAUCUGAGUGAACUCACUUCACAUGCAUUUGGAAUAUGUGCUUAAAAAAUAUUAGAUUUUGGCAGCUCCAGGAACUAUUGGAAGCAGGAAACAAUGCUAGAAUUGGGAUAAAGCACACUGACUCAUUACUCCUUUUUGUUACUAUUAGGCAUCAGAGAUACAUGUUUUGUUGAUUUUAGUUAUAAAAAUGAGAUAAACUUGAAUAUGAAUACAUUGGCUUCCUUGUUCCAGGAGCUACCUCUUGGAUAAAAUAGCUAUUUCACGAAACUUCUUUAGAGACUAACAUGAUACUCCCAAGAAGGCUAUUUUAGAAACAAAAUU
rnacentral:lncRNA from 1 species